rnacentral:tRNA from 1 species
CGGGGUAUAGCGCAGUCUGGCAGCGCGACGGCUUUGGGUGCCGUAGGUCGCAGGUUCGAAUCCUGCUGCCCCGACCA